rfam:Fragilariopsis cylindrus CCMP1102 unplaced genomic scaffold FRACYscaffold_29, whole genome shotgun sequence.
GCAUCAUUAGUUUAGUGGUAAAAUAUCUGCCUUCCAAGCAGAUGUCCCGAGUUCGAUUCCCGGAUGAUGCA